UGUUUGCUACAUUGGAUUAUAAAGUAUAUAUUAUUCGGAACGGAUAGCUGUUUAAUAUUUUUCAUUUCUAACUCAUUCAAGAAGUUACAGCCGUGGGGUUAACGUCGUUGUGUGGAUUAGUAUUGUAAGAAUUUAGCCUAACAAAGGGUAAUGCAGUAAAUUAAAAAUUUUAUUUUAUAAAAGUGAAGCAUAUGAGGAAAAUUAAAAUUAAAAUUAAAUUUAAAAACGAGGUACUUAUUUGGCGGUCGUAGAAAGUUAAUUAAUUUAAUUGAUCUCUUGAAUUUUAUCGAUCUGGUUUCAUCGAAAACUCAUCCACACUCUCAUUUUGAAUGAAACUUAAAUCAUCUGCCAAAAUUUUUGGAAAAAAAACAUUGGUUGACAACGUAUAAAGUGCCGAUGAAGCCCUAUCCCACGUUCAACAAGUAACAGUAUUCAUAGCUCAACUAACAACAAAAAAAUUUAAAUAAUUUUUAACAAAUCAAUUAUAUUAAACAACAGUCAACAUAAAAAUUUAAACAAACAUUUAAUAGCUUUCAAAAACAAAAAAAAAAGCUAAAAUCCACUUAAAAUUAUAUAGAAGAAGUUUUAUAAAAACUAAAAUUCUUAAAAUCGAAUAAUUCAAAACUUAAAUGAUAAUAAU